UCCCCUAGUAACGGCGAGUGAAGCGGGAAGAGCUCAAGCUUAAAAUCUCCAUGUUUACAUGGCGAAUUGUAGUCUAUUGAGGCUGUUGUCAGCAUAGCGAUCCGGGACAAGUCCCUUGGAAAAGGGCAGCAUGGAGGGUGAUACUCCCGUCUCUGCUCGGAUUGUCUGUGUGUACGAUACGCUUUCUUUGAGUCGAGUUGUUUGGGAAUACAGCUCAAAGUAGGUGGUAAAUUCCAUCUAAAGCUAAAUAUUGGUGCGAGACCGAUAGCGAACAAGUACCGUGAGGGAAAGAUGAAAAGAACUUUGAAAAGAGAGUUAAAGAGUACCUGAAACUGUUGAAAGGGAACCGUAUCGUUUCCAGUGUUUUAUCCUGUGCAUAUUUCAUUAGCGGAGCAAUUUGCUGGUGCCCUGUGCAUGGGUGUGACGUCAGAGUCAGUUUGUAUGCUGCGGGAGAUGGUCAGUGAGGAGGUGCGUCACUUCGGUGAAAGUUAUAUCUCGCUGUCUAGUAGCCGUGGUUGAGACUGAGGUGCCUACAACAUGCCUUGGGGUUCAGUGUUGUCUCGUUUUGGUGACUGCUUUGAUAGCUUGCUAUGUCUGUGGUUAAUCAGGGCGAUUGRUGMUGUUGAUAACUUCUGCUGUUCGGGACUCUGGCGA
rnacentral:rRNA from 1 species